CGUAGGUGGCAAGCGUUGUCCGGAUUUAUUGGGUUUAAAGGGUGCGUAGGCGGCCCUGUAAGUCAGUGCUGAAAUAUCCCGGCUUAACCGGGAGGGUGGCAUUGAUACUGCAGGGCUUGAGUAAAGUUGAGGUUGGCGGAAUUGACGGUGUAGCGGUGAAAUGCUUAGAUAUCGUCAAGAACACCGAUAGUGAAGACAGCUAACUAAGCUUUAACUGACGCUGAGGCACGAAAGUGUGGGGGAUCAAACAGGAUUAGAUACCCUGGUAGUCCACACUGUAAACGUUGAUUACUCGAUGUUGGCGAUACACAGUCAGCGUCUUAGCGCAAGCGAUAAGUAAUCCACCUGGGGAGUACGCCGGCAACGGUG
rnacentral:rRNA from 1 species